rnacentral:rRNA from 1 species
GUGAACGCUGGCGGUAGGCCUAACACAUGCAAGUCGAACGGCAGCACAGUAAGAGCUUGCCCUUACGGGUGGCGAGUGGCGGACGGGUGAGGAAUACAUCGGAAUCUACUUUUUCGUGGGGGAUAACGUAGGGAAACUUACGCUAAUACCGCAUACGACCUACGGGUGAAAGCAGGGGAUCUUCGGACCUUGCGCGAUUGAAUGAGCCGAUGUCGGAUUAGCUAGUUGGCGGGGUAAAGGCCCACCAAGGCGACGAUCCGUAGCUGGUCUGAGAGGAUGAUCAGCCACACUGGAACUGAGACACGGUCCAGACUCCUACGGGAGGCAGCAGUGGGGAAUAUUGGACAAUGGGCGCAAGCCUGAUCCAGCCAUACCGCGUGGGUGAAGAAGGCCUUCGGAUUGUAAAGCCCUUUUGUUGGGAAAGAAAAGCAGCAGGUUAAUACCCCGCUGUUCUGACGGUACCCAAAGAAUAAGCACCGGCUAACUUCGUG